GAUAGCAAAAUGGAAUUCCCCCCAACAAUUAUCCAUACGCAUUUUUGACCUUGAACCGGAAAUAGUUAAGUACACCACCCGUGUCAUUCCCCUCUGGACAAUUGGACUUAUGGAACAGCUGGGAAUUAAACCAUACGCACCCUUUUCUCGGCUGGGAAAAAUCUACGAAAACCCCACAAUUAAAGCUCUCCGCCAAAUCUAACCCUAUAACCUCUACCGGAAACUGUUUUCACUCUCCUCGUGUUCCAUCUUUUAAUUGGUUCGUGGUACGGACGACAAGAAAAAGCGAGUGAGUCGAACACUCCCUAUCUCCGCUAUGAUCUUCCCUAGCACGGCUCUUUUGUUGCACACACGCUUCUCUCGAGUCGUUUGAAACCACGAGAGCACUCUUCACCGUACACCUGUAAGAUAAGGAUAGAGAUCCAGAGAAAAAACGAACAGAACUUUUUAGAGAGAGAAAGAGAGUAGCGUUGAGAGAGAAAGACUCUGAAGAUCUGAAAUCGAAGAGCCAAAGAUCGAGGAGGUUUUUGAUCUCUAGAUUUGUUGGGUUUCUCUUGGAUUUGGUCGUUAAAACUUUGAGGAGCUGUCAAGUUUGGGAGGUGAAAUUAGGGUUUUGGUGCGGAGGUGGUUAAACCCUAGUUUGGAUUGAUUUGAGAACGUGAAUUGUUUCGUUGAAGACUGUAAAAGGGGAAAUUAGGGUUUUAAACCCUAAUAUAUAUGUAUGGCUUCGGGGACAGUAGUUGGAGAAGGAAAAGAUGGUGAGAGAGAGAAGCAGAGGUACACGGAGAGCAAGGUUUAUACGAGAAAGGCGUUUAAGGGUCCCAAGAAAAACAAUAUUGUCAACGCCACCACUAACAACAGCAACACCAGCAAUGACAACAACAACAACAGCAACAACAACGUCAAUAGCGCUGCUGUGAGCAGCAGUGCCGUCAUCAAAACCGCUGCCCCUGCCGCUGCGAACAAGGAGGACAACACCAAUGAUAAGAACAACAGCGACAACAACAACUUGGCUGAAGCACCAGCUCAGCCUCUGCCUUUGGAAUACGGGGAUUCAUCUCACCAACAGCCUGCUUUGCGUGUAGAUACUGCAAUUUCUGAUGACUCUUCAUGUCUUAACAAGCAGCAUGCUGUGGCAGACAACGGAGUGAAGCCCAGCUCAGAGAACCGGGUGAAGAUCAAUUUGGCUUCAAGAUCAAAACGGGAGAUGCGGGAACUGAGGAGGAAGCUGGAGAGUGAGCUUGAUUUGGUGAGGAGUUUGGUGAAGAGGAUUGAAGUUAAAGAAGGUCAAAUAAGUGGGUUUGGUAAUUCCCGUGUUCCGUCGAAUGACACUGUUGAUUAUGGAUUCAAGACGGUUCAACCAGAGGUGGCAUCAGUGGGUAUUCCUCAGAAGCCUGUUAAGCAAUCAAGGCCUUUGAACCAGUUGAAUAUUUCUGUCGUGGAAAAUAAUCAGGUUGCAAAUGAAAAUUUGGAGAAGGAGAAGAGAACACCUAAGGCGAAUAAAUUCUAUCGGAAUUCUGAGUUUUUGCUUGCUAAAGAUAAGUUUCCACCAGCUGAGAGUAACAAAAAGUCGAAAUUGAAUGGGAAGAAGCAAGGAGGAGGUGAAUUCACUCAUGGGUUUGGUAUGGGUAACAAGUUCUUUAAGAGCUGUAGCUCUUUGCUUGAAAGACUAAUGAAGCAUAAGCAUGGUUGGGUCUUUAAUGCUCCUGUUGAUGUCAAGGGUUUGGGUUUGCAUGAUUACUAUAGUAUCAUCAAGCAUCCAAUGGAUUUGGGUACUGUGAAAUCGAGGCUUAACAAGAACUGGUACAAGUCUCCUAGAGAGUUUGCCGAGGAUGUGAGACUGACAUUUCGCAAUGCUAUGACAUAUAAUCCUAAGGGACAAGAUGUUCAUAUAAUGGCUGAGCAGUUAUCACAGAUAUUUGAGGACAAAUGGGCUCCUAUAGAGGCAGAUUAUAUUCGAGAUAUGAGACUUGCAAUAGAAUAUGAAGUGAGUCUUCCUAUGCCAACACCAAGAAAGGCACAUCCAAUGCUUCCAUCUCCACUUGAUAUGAGAAGGAUCUUGGAUAGGUCAGAGUUGAUGGUACGCCCUGUUGAUAUGAGACCAAAACUCAUUGCUACUACUCCUUCAGGUAGGACCGCUACUCCAAAAAAGCCUAAGGCAAAGGAUCUGUAUAAGAGGGAUAUGACUUAUGAGGAGAAGCAGAAGCUUAGCACUAACCUUCAGAGUUUGCCUUCAGAGAAGCUGGACAACAUUGUACAGAUUAUUAAGAAAAGGAAUUCAGCUUUCUUUCAACAUGACGAUGAAAUUGAAGUGGAUAUUGACAGUGUGGAUACUGAGACUCUUUGGGAGCUAGAUAGAUUUUUUACCAACUACAAGAAAAGUUUGAGCAAAAACAAGAGAAAAGCUGAACUUGCCAUUCAAGCUAGAGCAGAAGCUGAGCAGAUUGUACCAGAGAAGUUGCAGACUCCAGCUACUGUUUUGGUGGAACUGCCAAAAGAAGCCACAACUAAUGAACAGAAUGUGUCCACAUCACCUGUUGAAAUUGAAAAGCCGGGAGAUAAUGCUAGUAGGUCAAGUAGUUCAAGUAGCUCUAGCAGUGAUUCUGCUUCUUCUUCAACUGACUCUGAUAGUGAAAGUUCCUCAGCAUCUGGGUCUGAUGCUGAACAUUCACCAAGGUCUUGAAUGUUUUCUCAUUCAGUUUGCAGUGGCUAUGUUGUUCUGACUUGGUUUGGUUAUAGUAUGUCGGUAUGAGAAUAACUAUGCAGAGCCUUGGGUUUGGUGUAGCAUCAUACUGCAAUCCAUGUAAAUGAAAUAUGUGGCUGAUCUAAAGCAUUUAGAGUAGGUGCUGAUCCUGAAGCUUUGCAGAUUGUCUUUUAUGACUUUGAAGUAGCAUUUGAUGUAUAAUGGAGAAGUUUUUGGUGCCUCGAACUCGAAGUCCAAGGGCUCCAGCCAUUUAAGUCACUUAAGAGCGCGGAGUGGGUCUGUUUCUGCUGUUCUAGGACGUGGGAACUAGGCUGCAGCACUCUCAUGUGGACUAUCUGUAUAAUAUGGGUAGAUGUGGUGUCUUUGGCUAGGAAAAGUUGGGUUUGUUUUGCAUAGCUCGUGUACAUUGCUAACUAGUGCUACUCAUCCUAGUUUCAGGGGACUUUUUUUUUUUGGUUUAUGGUGGCAGGUCCAGGAUUCUUUCGUGUUAUAUAAGGAAAAAUAGCAGUGUAAUUCAAGUUCAUGAAGUCGUAAUUGCUUCACGUGAAAUAAUCUGUGAAAGCCCAUUUAUUUGUUGUGUUUGGCACUCGGCUGGUGUCUUGUAAUAAUUUUGUUCUUCUUACUGCACUAAUUGUACUUUUUUAUGAGAUUAAAGCAAUACAGAGAGUGUAGUAAUUAGGAGCUAACCAUGUCAGCAAUCAAAGUUAAAUACUUUAAAAGUUAUUUAAUGCUCUGAAAGGGAUAAUUUAAGGUUAAGAUUUGUCA